rnacentral:rRNA from 1 species
GUUAAGCGACUAAGCGUACACGGUGGAUGCCCUGGCAGUCAGAGGCGAUGAAGGACGUGCUAAUCUGCGAAAAGCGUCGGUAAGGUGAUAUGAACCGUUAUAACCGGCGAUGUCCGAAUGGGGAAACCCAGUGCAAUUCGUUGCACUAUCGUUAACUGAAUACAUAGGUUAACGAGGCGAACCGGGGGAACUGAAACAUCUAAGUACCCCGAGGAAAAGAAAUCAACCGAGAUU